GGAGGAUUGCUCGAGCCCAGGAGGUGGAGGUUGCAGUGAGCUGAGAUCACGCCACUGCACUCCAGCCUGGGCGACAGAGCCAGAUCUUGUCU
rnacentral:miRNA from 1 species